GAAGGUAGCAUAAUGAAUAGUCUAUUAAUUGUGGUCUGGAAUGAAAGGCUUAACGGGGAAUAGCUUUCUUAAUUUUAUAGUUGAAUUUGAAUUGUUAGUGAGAAUGCUAACAUUCGGUAGAUGGACAAGAAGACCCUAUAGAGCUUUAUAUUUAUCUUGAUUUUAGUGGUAUAGAUAUUGGGUAUAUAUUUUGUUGGGGCGACAUUAAAUAUUAAACAUUUAAUUAAAAGUCUGUAUUAUAGGUGGAAUGAUCCAUUAUUAAUGAUUAAAGACUAAGCUACCUUAGGGAUAACAGCGUAAUCUUGUCUUAGAGUUCUUAUCGAUGAUGAGGUUUGCGACCUCGAUGUUGGAUUAAAAUUCCUAUGAGACGCAGGAGUUUCAUGAGGCGGUC
rnacentral:rRNA from 1 species